rnacentral:rRNA from 1 species
GCCUGCGUGAAGUUGGAAUUGCUAGUAAUCGCGGAUCAGCAUGCCGCGGUGAAUACGUUCCCGGGCCUUGUACACACCGCCCGUCACACCAUGGGAGCCGGUAAUACCCGAAGUCAGUAGCUUAACCGCAAGGAGGGCGCUGCCGAAGGUAGGAUUGGCGACUGGGGUGAAGUCGUAACAAGGUAUC